rnacentral:rRNA from 1 species
GUAAGCGUAGCGAUACGUUGAGCUAACCCAUACUAAUUACCCGUGAGGCUUAACCAUACAACACCCAAGAAGUGUUC